AAAUGGUUUACAGGCUAAAAUCGCAACGUCCUGUUGCAACGCCUGCACUUGCACGUCCUGUG
rnacentral:sRNA from 1 species